rnacentral:rRNA from 1 species
UUCGCAAUGCCCGAAAGGGUGACGAAGCGACGCCGCGUGCGGGAAGAAGGCCUUCGGGUCGUAAACCACUGUCGGGAGUUAAGAAAUGUAAGGAUGUUAAUAGCGUCCUUACUUGACUAAGGCUCCGGAGGAAGCCACGGCUAACUCUGUGCCAGCAGCCGCGGUAAUACAGAGGCGGCAAGCGUUGUUCGGAAUUAUUGGGCGUAAAGAGCACGUAGGCGGCUAUGUAAGUCGGUUGUGAAAGCCUUCCGCUCAACGGGAGAACAGCAGUCGAUACUGCAUAGCUUGAGUGCGGGAGGGGAGAGCGGAACUUCUGGUGGAGCGGUGAAAUGCGUAGAUAUCAGAAGGAACGUCGGCGGCGAAAGCGACUCCCUGGCCCGUAACUGACGCUGAGUGUGCGAAAGCUAGGGGAGCAAACGGGAUUAGAUACCCCGGUAGUCCUAGCCGUAAACGAUGGGCACUAAGUAGAGGGGUUUU